CAUCUUCAUAUCUCGUAUCUCAUCAAAACAAAACACCUCACUGCUGCUCCUAUCCAGUUUCCAUUCUCCUCCAUCCUCAUCACAACAGAACAAUUUCUAACCUCAUCACAACAGAUCAAUUUCUAUUCUCCUCAUCACAACAGAACAAUUUCUAUCCUCAUCACAACAGAACAGUUUCUAUUCUCCUCCAUCCUCAUCACAACAGAACAGUUUCUAUUCUCCUCCAUCCUCAUCACAACAGAACAGUUUCUAUUCUCCUCAUCACAACAGAACAGUUUCUAUUCUCCUCAUCACAACAGAACAGUUUCUAUUCUCCUCGAUCCUCAUCACAACAGAACAGUUUCAAUUCUCCUCCAUCCUCAUCACAACAGAACAGUUUCUAAUCUCCUCUAUCCUCAUCACAACAGAACAGUUUCUAUUCUCCUCUAUCCUCAUCACAACAGAACAGUUUCCAUUCUCCUCAUCACAACAGAACAGUUUCUAUUCUCCUCUAUCCUCAUCACAACAGAACAGUUUCUAUUCUCCUCCAUCCUCAUCACAACAGAACAGUUUCUAUUCUCCUCCAUCCUCAUCACAACAGAACAGUUUCUAAUCUCCUCUAUCCUCAUCACAACAGAACAGUUUCUAUUCUCCUCCAUCCUCAUCACAACAGAACAGUUUCUAUUCUCCUCCAUCCUCAUCACAACAGAACAGUUUCUAAUCUCCUCUAUCCUCAUCACAACAGAACAGUUUCUAAUCUCCUCUAUCCUCAUCACAACAGAACAGUUUCUAUUCUCCUCCAUCCUCAUCACAACAGAACAGUUUCUAUUCUCCUCCAUCCUCAUCACAACAGAACAGUUUCUAAUCUCCUCUAUCCUCAUCACAACAGAACAGUUUCUAUUCUCCUCCAUCCUCAUCACAACAGAACAGUUUCUAUUCUCCUCCAUCCUCAUCACAACAGAACAGUUUCUAUUCUCCUCCAUCCUCAUCACAACAGAACAGUUUCUAUUCUCCUCCAUCCUCAUCACAACAGAACAGUUUCUAUUCUCCUCCAUCCUCAUCACAACAGAACAGUUUCUAAUCUCCUCCAUCCUCAUCACAACAGAACAGUUUCUAUUCUCCUCCAUCCUCAUCACAACAGAACAGUUUUAA
rnacentral:lncRNA from 8 species